rnacentral:tRNA from 1 species
GUGCAUAGCGCAGUGGUAGCGCGUCCGCUUUGCAAGCGGAAGGCCCCGGGUUCAAUCCCCGGUGUGUCCA